GCUAUGGGUCCUAUGUAAUUCCGGCUCACAGAUUGCAAUUCCUAUGGCUUCCAGUAGAUGUCAUCAGUCUUUAUUCAAUGUUUCAGGCUUGUUUUUUGAAAAACAAGCAAGAAUUUUGAGUUUUGGUGAAGAGAGCACCGGAACAAUAUCAGUCUUUCGGCGCACUUACUAAUUUUACUUUCCUAUUGAACAUACUACUUUCCGUAUGAAAUAUUAUUGUUUAUUUACAUUUUAGCGUACCUGAGGAUUAAAUAGAAACUUGUUUGACUUGUUUGGACAAAGUCUAGAAGUAUCUUUUUGGACUCCUUUGUCUGCAUGUUGAACGAGUGGAUUACUGAAAUCGAUGGCGCCAACUAAACAGACUUUUGGGGAUAAAAAUAAGGAUUUUAUCUAACAAAAUGACCAUUCAUGAUGUAGCUGGGAACCUUGGGAUUGCAAACAGAGGAGGAUUUUCAAAAUGGAGGAGUUGGGCACUUCUCCAACACAAUCCAUUCAUCCAUGAUGAUCCUUUUUCUGCACCGAAGACUCUGAACACCUCAACCCCCUGUCCUGCACUGAAGUCAAGCCUCUGAACAACUCUACUCAUUCCAGCAAUCGCUGCUGCCCUUACCAACACUGCCGUCUUGAAACUCAACUCAGGAAGCUCAGUAGACAACACUCUGCAGGCUUCUCACCCUAGAAAAACAGGAGCACAGUUGCAGACGGUAGCAACAAGAUGAAGCGCUGCGAUGUGUGUGGACCCAAGGACAGGAAGACACAGUACACAUUCAUCAAGUGCAAGAAAUACAUUUGCAUCACAAACACAGUAAAACUCUGUCCCUCAUGUGGUGUGUAGACCGGCGUUAACUUUUGUUCAAUG
rnacentral:lncRNA from 1 species